rnacentral:rRNA from 1 species
AUUGAACGCUGGCGGCAGGCCUAACACAUGCAAGUCGAGCGGAUGAGAAGAGCUUGCUCUUCGAUUCAGCGGCGGACGGGUGAGUAAUGCCUAGGAAUCUGCCUGGUAGUGGGGGACAACGUUUCGAAAGGAACGCUAAUACCGCAUACGUCCUACGGGAGAAAGCAGGGGACCUUCGGGCCUUGCGCUAUCAGAUGAGCCUAGGUCGGAUUAGCUAGUUGGUGAGGUAAUGGCUCACCAAGGCGACGAUCCGUAACUGGUCUGAGAGGAUGAUCAGUCACACUGGAACUGAGACACGGUCCAGACUCCUACGGGAGGCAGCAGUGGGGAAUAUUGGACAAUGGGCGAAAGCCUGAUCCAGCCAUGCCGCGUGUGUGAAGAAGGUCUUCGGAUUGUAAAGCACUUUAAGUUGGGAGGAAGGGCAGUAAGUUAAUACCUUGCUGUUUUGACGUUACCGACAGAAUAAGCACCGGCUAACUCUGUGCCAGCCGCCGCCGCAGUA